rnacentral:lncRNA from 1 species
CGCAAGCCAGUUCGCUCUUGACUGGCUUCACCCAGAAUGAUGCUGGGAAGAUGGGUGCCUUUGUUUCCAUUCCAAAGUCAAAGAAGAAAAUGAAGCAAGAGGUGCUAGGUGAUGGCCUUCAACUCCCCAGGGAGAGCCCAGCACUCUCCAAACCUGCAUCCCAGCCCUCCUCAAAUGAAUCAUGGCUCCUGGGUGAAGCCUGCAGCCCAGGGCAUGCCCUUGGCACUCUCAUGCUUAAAACUCCCCUCUGGUAUACCCCCCCAACCCCAUUCAGACCUCCCUUAUCGGUUAUGCUCCUGCCAGCUAGAUGGCUCCUCUUGGGGAUCCCUCUUUGCCCCAACAGGGCUGUGCUGGGCUCCUCCUCUGGUCUCUAUGCAUACCCCAAUAUUUCAAUAUUGUUUCCUAUCUCCUUCCCCUGAUCUGCAAGCUCCCAGAGGGCCAACUCCAAGGCAGACCCAUUGUCACAUGAUCACAGCUUAGCACACUAAUCGUAGGGGCAAGAAGUCCAUGAUAGGAAUUGCAAUUAAAUCACAGAUAUGACAGCACCGUGUUGGAAAAGCACAACUGAAACAGUUCUUACCAGCUUUCUAGUCAUCCUUUGUCUGAGAUCCUGAUCCCACCCAAAUCUAGGCCCAUAAAGCCCUAAUGUUUGUUUAGCCUGAAGGGCCAGGUCAUUUC